CGCUGUGUGUUACAAGUGUCACACGGAACUGCCGGUCAUAAACCGGAGGAAGGUGGGAUGACGUCAAGUCAGCAUGGCCUUUAUAUCCUGGGCUACACACACGCUACAAUGGGAAGGGACAAUAGGUUGCGAAGCCGCGAGGCGGAGCCAAUCCAGCAAAACUUCCCUCAGUUCAGAUUGCAGGCUGCAACUCGCCUGCAUGAAGUUGGAGUUGCUAGUAAACGCAGGUCAGCCAUACUGCGUUGAAUACGUUCCCGGGGCUU
rnacentral:rRNA from 1 species